AAUGAACGCUGGCGGCGCGCCUAAUACAUGCAAGUCGAGCGAGAAGACGUAGCAAUACGUUUGUAAAGCGGCGAACGGGUGAGGAAUACAUGGGUAACCUACCCUCGAGUGGGGAGUAACUAGCCGAAAGGUUAGCUAAUACCGCGUACGCUCCUUGGACUUCGGUUCAGGGAGGGAAAGCGAUACCGUGGGUAUCGCGCUCUUGGUUGGGCUCAUGUCCUAUCAGCUUGUUGGUGAGGUAACGGCUCACCAAGGCUUCGACGGGUAGCUGGUCUGAGAGGACGAUCAGCCACACUGGCACUGCGACACGGGCCAGACUCCUACGGGAGGCAGCAGUAAGGAAUAUUGCGCAAUGGGCGAAAGCCUGACGCAGCGACGCCGCGUGGGGGA
rnacentral:rRNA from 1 species